CAGCAGUAGCCGCGGUAACACGUAGGUGGCAAGCGUUGUCCGGAAUUAUUGGGCGUAAAGGGCUCGCAGGCGGUUUCUUAAGUCUGAUGUGAAGGCCCCCGGCUCAACCCGGGAGGGUCAUUGGAAACUGGGAAACUUGAGUGCAGAAGAGGAGAGUGGAAUUCCACGUGUAGCGGUGAAAUGCGUAGAGAUGUGGAGGAACACCAGUGGCGAAGGCGACUCUCUGGUCUGUAACUGACGCUGAGGAGCGAAAGCGUGGGGAGCGAACAGGAUUAGAUACCCCUGUAGUCCCUGUCUCUUAUAC
rnacentral:rRNA from 1 species